GAUGAACGCUGGCGGCGUGCCUAAUACAUGCAAGUCGAGCGAACAGACGAGGAGCUUGCUCCUCUGACGUUAGCGGCGGACGGGUGAGUAACACGUGGAUAACCUACCUAUAAGACUGGGAUAACUUCGGGAAACCGGAGCUAAUACCGGAUAAUAUAUUGAACCGCAUGGUUCAAUAGUGAAAGACGGUUUUGCUGUCACUUAUAGAUGGAUCCGCGCCGCAUUAGCUAGUUGGUAAGGUAACGGCUUACCAAGGCAACGAUGCGUAGCCGACCUGAGAGGGUGAUCGGCAACACUGGAACUGAGACACGGUCCAGACUCAUACGGGAGGCAGCAGUAGGGAAUCUUCCGAAAUGGGCGAAAGCCUGACGGAGCAAAGCCGCGUGAGUGAUGAAGGUCUUCGGAUCGUAAAACUCUGUUAUUAGGGAAGAACAAAUGUGUAAGUAACUAUGCACGUCUUGACGGUACCUAAUCAGAAAGCCACGGCUAACUACGUG
rnacentral:rRNA from 1 species